GGGAAAUUGAUGAUAUCUAUAAAUGGCCAAUAAUGCUUCAAUUGACAUACUCGGGAGUUGUUCUCAGUUUUUGUCAAUAAGUGCCCUUACUGUACAAGACAACGAUCAAUUGUAUGUAUUCAUUACACUGGCUUUCCAUGCUUCUGCAUAUUUGUUCGGGACGUUGGCGUUUGCGCUCAUCGGUGAAAAAUUACAACAAAAUGCAACUUUAUGACUCAUUCAAAUGAAAUAGCAUUAAAGGUCUUCAAUUCAAUGUAUUCGCUGACAAUGUUAUAUCGUAAUCGACUGCAGAAAAUACACACUUAAACUUUUUUUUCUGUGGAACUUCAUAGUAUAUAAUGUAGUGAUCAAAAGUAGUGAUGAGUAAUUUAUUAUUCCCAAAAUGACUAGACCGAUUUAGAUUAAUUAUUUAGAAAAUGUUUAGAUUAACAAACUCUACGGUUAAUUGUGUGAAGUUUGAUGUAACUUGAAGGGUGUAAAAGAAGGGAUUAACUUGUGUUGAUAUAAUAUUAGAUUCUAGCAUGUGUAAGUUGUUAACUCAAAUAAAAAAAAUCAAACAUU